UACAGAGGUGGCAAGCGUUGUUCGGAAUUACUGGGCGUAAAGGGCGCGUAGGCGGUCCUCUAAGUCUUGUGUGAAAUCCCUCGGCUCAACUGAGGAACUGCACGGGAUACUGGAAGACUUGAGUUCGGGAGAGGGAAGCGGAAUUCCGGGUGUAGUGGUGAAAUGCGUAGAUAUCCGGAGGAACACCAGUGGCGAAGGCGGCUCACUGGCCCGGUACUGACGCUGAGGUGCGAAAGCGUGGGGAGCAAACAGG
rnacentral:rRNA from 1 species